rnacentral:lncRNA from 1 species
ACAGAGUUCAUGAUCGGUAGUAGUUCAUAGUAUCUUCUCCUCACAGAAGAAUUUAGUCUAGUAACUUAGCACAUACUGUAGAUUGUAGAAUCUUUGCACUUACAAUAGCCUAUAGAGCUCAAGUCUUUGGUCCUUUUCCUCCCUUCAAAUUUUCUUUGCUUGUAAGUUAUUACCAUAAUCUAUUAUCCUUCUAUUCUGGUCUUGUAGAUGGUCCACUGUUUACUAGUUUGUAGUUACUACUUUGGUUAAUGAUCCUCCUUCUCUCUUAAGCUAUCUCUUGUCUCUCUCUGUAAAGUUUUCGUUUCUGAGUUGCCUUCUGAAAGGGCAUAGUUUGUCCCUUCACCAUCUUUUCGGGUUUUUUACAAAGAAAAGUUGGAAGGGGUUUGGUUAUAAUCUUUUGCUUCUAAGUUCUGACUGCUUUAGUUUUUUAGGGUUAAUCUGUGUCACACAACCUGUUAUCAAGCCCCCAAUGUUUUCCAUUUUAGCCUUUGGUUAAUGCUUCUUUCCAUAGUCUUCACCUGGCUUGUCCUUGAAGGAGAGUGUUGACCAUACUAUGCCAGAAUUGAUGUAAGAUAUUGCUUUAUGCUCUCAUGCUUCUGCUUUGUUGUUUUCAUGCCAUAAACUGCAGUUACUGAAAAUUGCUUCAUUAUGAAUCAGGGAGGCGAAACUGUACCGAGGCUGUUUUGUUCAAAAGAUAUGGUCAUGAUCUUCUUGGAUGCUAGUUAGAGUGCAAUUCCGUUUUACUUCAUGAAGUCUCUCUUAGUGGUUCCUGACUUGUGUUUCUUUCUUUUUGAGUUUCUGUAACUGGUGGAACUUGUAUGGUCUGCUGAAAUAAAUCAUCGAUAUGUUUUAUCUGAAGUAUGAGUUGGUGGAACUUCUGUUACUGUUCACUAAUUUAUAUUUCGUUUUUUUUUUCAAAUCUAUGACAGCAGCAUUUUGAAGUAGUUUUAUAUUUUCUUAUGAAACUCAUACUAUUAGUCUUGUACUUCUCAAUCCCAGUGUGCGACAACUUACAUUGAGAAAUACAAUGACAUACU